GCUUCCUAGCUCAGUUGGUAGAGCAUCGCACUGGUAACGCGAAGGUCAUGGGUUUAAAUUUUCAAUUGCUUAAAUA